rnacentral:rRNA from 1 species
AAACUCAAAUGAAUUGACGGGGCACCCGCACAAGCGGUGGAUGAUGUGGUUUAAUUCGAUGCAACGCGAAAAACCUUACCUACCCUUGACAUGUCAAGAAUUCUGCAGAGAUGUGGAAGUGCUCGAAAGAGAACUUGAACACAGGUGCUGCAUGGCCGUCGUCAGCUCGUGUCGUGAGAUGUUGGGUUAAGUCCCGCAACGAGCGCAACCCUUGUCAUUAGUUGCUACGAAAGGGCACUCUAAUGAGACUGCCGGUGACAAACCGGAGGAAGGUGGGGAUGACGUCAGGUCCUCAUGGCCCUUAUGGGUAGGGCUACACACGUCAUACAAUGGCCGGUACAGAGGGCUGCCAACCCGCGAGGGGGAGCUAAUCCCAGAAAACCGGUCGUAGUCCGGAUCGUAGUCUGCAACUCGACUGCGUGAAGUCGGAAUCGCUAGUAAUCGCGGAUCAGCUUGCCGCGGUGAAUACGUUCCCGGGUCUUGUACACACCGCCCGU